GCUUACGGCCAUACCACCCUGAGAACGCCCGAUCUCGUCUGGUCUCUGAAGUUAAGCAGGGUCGGGCCUGGUUAGUACUUGGAUGGGAUUCCGCCUGGGAAUACCAGGUGCUGUAAGCU
rnacentral:rRNA from 1 species